GUGCUUGCUUUGGCAGCACAUAUACUAAAAUUGUAACAAUACUCAGAAGAUUAGAAUGGCCCCUGUGCAAGGAUGACAUGCAAAUUUGUGAAGCAUUCCAUAAAAAA
rnacentral:snRNA from 1 species